rnacentral:rRNA from 1 species
ACGUAGGUAAUUUACCCUCGGGCGGGGACAAACUUUCGAAAGAGAAGCUAAUACCGCAUAAGACCACAGCCUCUGCGAGGGCAGUGGGAAAAGAAUGGCCUCUUCUUGAAAGCUAUCACCGGAGGAUAAGCCUGCGUCCCAUCAGCUUGUUGGUAAGGUAACGGCUUACCAAGGCGAAGACGGGUAGCUGGUCUGAGAGGAUGAUCAGCCACACUGGUACUGGAACACGGACCAGACUCCCACGGGAGGCAGCAGUGAGGAAUAUUGGGCAAUGGGCGCAAGCCUGACCCAGCCACGCCG